rnacentral:lncRNA from 1 species
NNNNNNNNNNNNNNNNGACCCCCAGGGGCUCAGUCGCCCUUCCCAGCGCGCCGCCUCUGCGCUCCCCUCGGGCUCCGUGCUGCCCUCCGUCCGGGAACGCAGGUCCUUCAGUGGCGCCUAAUGAGGCGUGAUGUGGUCUCUAUGGAGCUCCCGAGGAGGGGAAUCGGUGCCAUCCGGCGACGAAAAGCGUGCCCAAAGCCGUCGGAGGAGUGAAGGAGGAGCUUUUAAAACUUGCUCAAGAGUCCUAAAGAUACGGUGCUGUGCAUGCGUGGGGAAGCGGCUCGGCCCGCUCUCUGGAGCCCCACCAGAGUUCACGGUAGUCUUCACGAAAUCGCCUUCUUGUGUCCUCAUCGCUCAUCCUUCAACCAGAACGCAACAAAUAAAGUGCGGUGUUGUCUUUGAAUCGUGUCUACACUUUCUCCUGUGUGUGCUAGAAUGUUGCUCGGCGGUUUUUACUUGCUGAACGUGCUGGUUUUAUCUCCUCAUCUCUGCCGGGCUGCUAACAACGUGUUUCAAACUACGAAACUCUGUAGUUUCUCACCAACUUCUCUGAUUUGCCUCCUGGCCCUGAUUGGCGCCCGUCCCGCGGCGUGCGGAUCCUGCAGCGCCUCCGGCUCCCCCUUCCAUGGAGCCGAUUGUUCCCUGGUGCGCCGAGCUGGGCACACCCGCGCUCGGCUGGAUGCUAGGUGUCGGUGCAGUAUAGAGUGCUACCCCCGAAAUUGUGGUGUAUCUACUAUAGUUCUUGUAGUACUGAGCUGUUCCUGGAACUCCUCGUUCCUUCGGGACUCGAGUUCCCUCGUUUUCCAUGCGAACGCAGCUCGGGAUAACCAAACUUUGCUGGGAGCUGGCAGGAGUCCGGAGCGCUACGCUCCCCGCGCUCGGGGCCAGAGGGCUCUGCCAUCGAUCCUCUGUGUCAGGGGUGCUCCCUUGCCGCCGGGAAGGAGGGAGAGCUGCUGCCUUGUUUCUCCUGGGGGUACUGAGGGUGUUGGUUUGGGGUGUUUUCAAGCAGCGUCGCUUCCCAAGCGCUGUCGUGUCUCACGUGCCGUGACUGGAGCUCCUGCUAACGGGGAGCAGGCGCUCCUUCGCUCUUGCUCCGAGUUAAAUCGGACUCUGGCAAAAGCAGUUUAUGGAGGGGUAACUCUUGGGCUCCCCAAUCGCUGCACGUCUCGCUGCAGGCGGGAGAUGCCGGCAAGUCCCGUUUACACCGGGAUGAGAGAUCGCACUCCCCGAGCAGCACCGAACCCGAGAGCGUCUGCAAGGGUGGUUUGGCUGAGCGAGGGAAGACGUGGGGUGGC